GUAGGUGAACCUGCGGAAGGAUCAUUAACACGUAUCCACGUUUAUAACUAUCAACUUAUAUCAACACUUACUACGAACUGUGCUCCCUGUUGACCAAUCUCUUAGCUGUCUGAUUGCCGACUAUAAUGGCUCCCCGUUCUGUCAAAGGUUCGGUGUGGGAUGUCUGGUUGGACUAUCACUCCUUUAGUGAGAGUGUGGCUGAGCAAACGGAUUCAACAGGCUUACUAACUCUAACUGCCCGUGGAGAUAA
rnacentral:misc_RNA from 1 species